UACGUAGGGGGCAAGCGUUGUCCGGAUUUAUUGGGCGUAAAGAGCUCGUAGGCGGCUUGGCAAGUCGGGUGUGAAACCUCCAGGCUCAACCUGGAGUCGCCAUUCGAUACUGCUAUGGCUUGAGUUUGGUAGGGGACCACGGAAUUCCUGGUGUAGCGGUGAAAUGCGCAGAUAUCAGGAGGAACACCGGUGGCGAAGGCGGGUCUCUGGGCAACAACUGACGCUGGAGGAGCGAAAGCGUGGGGAGCGAACAGG
rnacentral:rRNA from 1 species